AGUUUUCUCUCUGUAAGAAAAAAAAAACGUUAAUCGGGUGAACUCUGUAGCCCAUUUGUUUUUGUUGAUAUUUAAAAAGCGUUCAAGAGCCUGUGAUAUCAAGAGAUAGUCUAAUCUAAAUACCUGGAAAAUACUAACGUCACUUCCUUUAGAUUAAACAGUUCCGGAUCCCAGUGGGAGUUGUUCAUCACUGGUAACUAACUUUCCAUCUCACAGGAGAAUUGAUCCUUGUUAAACAUGAAAAGGCGCGUGCAAUCGUACACACGAGUGCAGACAGCAGGGGUGGAGGCCACAAGGGUAACAACCUCUGUAGAGGCGGCCGUGAGGGACAGGAAUGGUCAGAUUCGACACGUCCAAGUCAGGCAGGAAAAAACCGUUGUCCAAGCAACUAGCCGUAGUCUCCCGGCCACAAACAGAGGUGCAAUUAAUUACCGCUAAGCGUCAUGAAGAUGUGACAUUGAAGCUUACCACUGACACCAUUAUCUCUGAGUAACUAUAGAACUGAUAUCAAUAAUGAAUGUUGAUUAAUACAUCGCGCAUGUAAUUCAUCAAAUGUUAUAAUUGUGUAAGCAAAGAUAAAUUUUGUUUGAUUGCGCUGUGAUAAUUUUACAAGAAACUAGUCCAAGUCAUA